UACGGGGGGGGCAAGCGUUGUUCGGAAUUCCUGGGCGUAAAGGGCUCGUAGGUGGCCAACUAAGUCAGACGUGAAAUCCCUCGGCUUAACCGGGGAACUGCGUCGGAUACUGGAUGGCUUGAGUUCGGGAGAGGGAUGCGGAAUUCCAGGUGUAGCGGUGAAAUGCGUAGAUAUCUGGAGGAACACCGGUGGCGAAGGCGGCAUCCUGGACCGACACUGACACUGAGGAGCGAAAGCCAGGGGAGCAAACGGG
rnacentral:rRNA from 1 species